rnacentral:rRNA from 1 species
GACGAACGCUGGCGGCGUGCUUAACACAUGCAAGUCGAACGGUGAAGGGAUCAGCUUGCUGGUUCUGGAUGAGUGGCGAACGGGUGAGUAACACGUGAGUAACCUGCUCCCUUCUUCUGGAUAACCGCAUGAAAGUGUGGCUAAUACGGGAUAUUCUGCGCCUGCUGCAUGGUGGGUGUGGGAAUGAUAUUGUUUCGGUGGGGGAUGGGGCCGCGGCCUAUCAGCUUGUUGGUGGGGUGAUGGCCUACCAAGGCGGUGACGGGUAGCCGGCCUGAGAGGGGGGACGGUCACACUGGGACUGGGACACGGCCCAGAGUGCUACGGGAGGGAGCAGUAGGGAAUAUUGCACAGUGGGCGCAAGCCUGAUGCAGCGACGCCGCGUGAGGGAUGGAGGCGUUCGGGUUGUGAACCUCUUUGGCCAGUGAAGCAGGCCUGUCCCUUGUGGGUGGGUUGACGGUAGCUGGAUAAGAAGCGCCGGCUAACUACGUG